GCCUCGAUAGAACCCGUUUAAGGCUCUCUAAGUCGCUCUCCUAGGGACCCGUUAAAAAAAGCGUAUUAAGCAAGAAAACCAAUCCAAAAUGCAUUUCUUUUGCUAUUUUUUCUGUCACUCUUUUUAUCGUACAUUAUUAAAAUGUUCAACUUGUCAGUAAACAGAACGAGUCUUUCGUUUAGUUCCUAGAAAAUCAGUCAAGAUUAAAAAUUAAACUCG